rnacentral:tRNA from 1 species
AGGGAUGUAGCGCAGUAGGUAGCAUGCUUGCCUAGCAUGCAUGCAGCCUGGGUUCCCUUCCCAGCAUUGCAA